UGUGAGCUCGAUGAGUAGGGCGGGACACGUGGUAUCCUGUCUGAAUAUGGGGGGACCAUCCUCCAAGGCUAAAUACUCCUGACUGACCGAUAGUGAACCAGUACCGUGAGGGAAAGGCGAAAAGAACCCCGGCGAGGGGAGUGAAAAAGAACCUGAAACCGUGUACGUACAAGCAGUGGGAGCACGCUUAGGCGUGUGACUGCGUACCUUUUGUAUAAUGGGUCAGCGACUUAUAUUCUGUAGCAAGGUUAACCGAAUAGGGGAGCCGAAGGGAAACCGAGUCUUAACUGGGCGUUAAGUUGCAGGGUAUAGACCCGAAACCCGGUGAUCUAGCCAUGGGCAGGUUGAAGGUUGGGUAACACUAACUGGAGGACCGAACCGACUAAUGUUGAAAAAUUAGCGGAUGACUUGUGGCUGGGGGUGAAAGGCCAAUCAAACCGGGAGAUAGCUGGUUCUCCCCGAAAGCUAUUUAGGUAGCGCCUCGUGAAUUCAUCUCCGGGGGUAGAGCACUGUUUCGGCAAGGGGGUCAUCCCGACUUACCAACCCGAUGCAAACUGCGAAUACCGGAGAAUGUUAUCACGGGAGACACACGGCGGGUGCUAACGUCCGUCGUGAAGAGGGAAACAACCCAGACCGCCAGCUAAGGUCCCAAAGUCAUGGUUAAGUGGGAAACGAUGUGGGAAGGCCCAGACAGCCAGGAUGUUGGCUUAGAAGCAGCCAUCAUUUAAAGAAAGCGUAAUAGCUCACUGGUCGAGUCGGCCUGCGCGGAAGAUGUAACGGGGCUAAACCAUGCACCGAAGCUGCGGCAGCGACGCUUAUGCGUUGUUGGGUAGGGGAGCGUUCUGUAAGCCUGUGAAGGUGUGCUGUGAGGCAUGCUGGAGGUAUCAGAAGUGCGAAUGCUGACAUAAGUAACGAUAAAGCGGGUGAAAAGCCCGCUCGCCGGAAGACCAAGGGUUCCUGUCCAACGUUAAUCGGGGCAGGGUGAGUCGACCCCUAAGGCGAGGCCGAAAGGCGUAGUCGAUGGGAAACAGGUUAAUAUUCCUGUACUUGGUGUUACUGCGAAGGGGGGACGGAGAAGGCUAUGUUGGCCGGGCGACGGUUGUCCCGGUUUAAGCGUGUAGGCUGGUUUUCCAGGCAAAUCCGGAAAAUCAAGGCUGAGGCGUGAUGACGAGGCACUACGGUGCUGAAGCAACAAAUGCCCUGCUUCCAGGAAAAGCCUCUAAGCAUCAGGUAACAUCAAAUCGUACCCCAAACCGACACAGGUGGUCAGGUAGAGAAUACCAAGGCGCUUGAGAGAACUCGGGUGAAGGAACUAGGCAAAAUGGUGCCGUAACUUCGGGAGAAGGCACGCUGAUAUGUAGGUGAAGUCCCUCGCGGAUGGAGCUGAAAUCAGUCGAAGAUACCAGCUGGCUGCAACUGUUUAUUAAAAACACAGCACUGUGCAAACACGAAAGUGGACGUAUACGGUGUGACGCCUGCCCGGUGCCGGAAGGUUAAUUGAUGGGGUCAGCGCAAGCGAAGCUCUUGAUCGAAGCCCCGGUAAACGGCGGCCGUAACUAUAACGGUCCUAAGGUAGCGAAAUUCCUUGUCGGGUAAGUUCCGACCUGCACGAAUGGCGUAAUGAUGGCCAGGCUGUCUCCACCCGAGACUCAGUGAAAUUGAACUCGCUGUGAAGAUGCAGUGUACCCGCGGCAAGACGGAAAGACCCCGUGAACCUUUACUAUAGCUUGACACUGAACAUUGAGCCUUGAUGUGUAGGAUAGGUGGGAGGCUUUGAAGUGUGGACGCCAGUCUGCAUGGAGCCGACCUUGAAAUACCACCCUUUAAUGUUUGAUGUUCUAACGU
rnacentral:rRNA from 1 species